UGAACAUUCUGUAGGGGCCACUGUCUUCUCCACGGUGCUCCCUUCAUGCGUGACCUGGCAGCUGUAGCUUUUGUGGGACUUCCACUGCUCAGGCGUCAGGCUCAGGUAGCUGCUGGCCGCGUACUUGUUGUUGCUUUGUUUGGAGGGUGUGGUGGUCUCCACUCCCGCCUUGACGGGGCUGCUAUCUGCCUUCCAGGCCACUGUCACGGCUCCCGGGUAGAAGUCACUUAUGAGACACACCAGUGUGGCCUUGUUGGCUUGAAGCUCCUCAGAGGAGGGUGGGAACAGAGUGACCGAGGGGGCAGCCUUGGGCUGACUAGGACGGUCAGCUUGGUCCCUCCGCCGAACACCCAACACUGUGACACAGUGACAGUAGUAGUCAGCCUCGUCCUCAGUCUUCAGUCCAGAGAUGGUGAGGGAGGCAGAGUUGGAGGAGCUGUCGAUGGAGCCAGAGAACCGAUCAGGGACCCCAGAGGGUCUUUGGUUAUCCUCAUAGAUCACAGUGGUGGGGGCACUGCCCGGGCGCUGCUGGUACCACUGCACAUAGUUGCUGGCAAUGCUGCCACUGCUGCCGGUGCAGGAGAUGGUUACCGUCUUCCCCGGAGACUCCGACACAGAGUGGGGCUGAGUCAGCAUAAAAU
rnacentral:lncRNA from 1 species